rnacentral:rRNA from 1 species
GAUGAACGCUGGCGGCGUGCUUAACACAUGCAAGUCGAGCGGAAGGACGCUGCUUUUGUGGGGUGCUCGAGAGCCGCGCGCGUGAGUAAAACGUGAGUAUACUGCCCUUGACUUUGGGAUAACUUCAGGGAAAUGGGGCUAAUACCGGAUAGAAGCUCCUGAUGCAUGGGGGGGAUUGGAGAGAUUCGGCGGUUGUGGCUGGACUCGAGGGUUACGCGCUUGUUGGUGGGGUAGUUGCGUACCAAGGCUAUGACGGGUAGGCGGCCUGAGAGAGUGACCGGCGACAUUGGGCCUGCGAUACGGCCCAGACUCCUACGUGCGGCAGCAGGCGGGAAUAUUGCACAAUGGGCGGAAGCCAGAGGCAGCAACGCCGCGUGCGGGAUGACGGCCUUCGGGUUGUAAACCGCUGUCGACUGUGACGAAGCGUGCGUGACGGUAAUGAGUAAAGAAGCACCGGCUAACUACGUG